rnacentral:lncRNA from 1 species
UCAAUUCUCUGGUAUUUCUGUACCAUCCAAAGAUCCUGCUAGUACACACACACUACAUCAAUGUAUACAGCAAUUACACUUCUUUAUUAAUUGAAAUAUCAUAUCGAGUCCUUUAUUACAAUAAAGAUUACAGUAAAGUGGCUCAAGUCCAACUCAUGAGAUAAAACUAAUCGAAAACUAGCGAAAGCUUCAAUGGUAGUUGAGUUCAUCUGACUCCAAGGGCAUAUCACCGAGCGUAGAUCGUAUCCUCACUUCUGGUUGGAAAAGUACUCUGCAACAUGACACAUUGUAGCCGUGUAGGUCAGCAUAUUGAAUAUGUCGGCAAGUCGCAAAAGAGAGGGGUGAAAAUAUCAUCUAUGCUAUAUGCAUAUAUAGCAGGUGGGGCCGUAAGUUUUAGCGGAAAGCAAAUUUUCCCUACAACAAAAGAGGGGGCAAAAUCGAAAAAAAUUACUACAUGUUGGUUGUUAAAUGAGAAGGUUCCACCAACCAUUUCUCGUACCCAAAUAAUAAUUCCCACAUCAUUAAAUUUAUUUGUGUCGAGAAUUCCUGAUAAUUUCAGUUCCUUUGGCUCAAGUUGUCUGUAACCGUGGACACGGCUAAUCGAUUAGGUUUGAGUACUCCGCAGAGUUUUGCACACGUUCCCCACAAGAUUUGAUCGCCUCCGUUGAAGUCCUCGCACUGCAAGGGGUUUGAGAACGGGAUGAUCAAAACAUGGUCUUCCAACGGGUUCCUCUGAGCCACUGUCGGUGCCCAUCCAUUCCUAUCGUUCUUCUACAUCUCGUAGCACCACUCGUCCAAAGUCGCCACGAUGUCCAACCAAGCCAGAGCCCAUAAUGGCUUGUGGUUGUGCAUGUAAGCCUCGGGUCUUGAAGUAUCCAUCCAUCUCUUCGUGCCUGGGUGGAACUUUCCGCGUGAAUACUGGCACUUCCCCAGCAACACAUAGGCUACCACUGGGUACUCCAGGGUGCCGUUCAACCAAUUUCCACCCAGAGGUAUAUUGCAUCAUGAGGCCUUGAAAAUCUUGAAGUCUUGAGAUCUUGUUCAUUAAUUAAGUCUCACAACCCUCAUGAUAAACACUCAACCAACCCCGUCUACUAAAAGCAUAGCAAAAAUAAAAUAUCAUCUCCCGGACCAAAGUGACAAGGGUUUAUGGGUGCCUACCGCAUGAUACUACUCAAGAACCAAAUUUUCAAGUACCUACUUUGCAUGCAAUGGGUGGAGAAGGUUGAACUAAUGCAAUAAAACCAUAGGUAAAAACAUGAUCAACGUGAACUUGCCUUGCUGCCAGUCCUCAAACUCGAGUGACUCUAAAUAGCAAGCUUCGCGCUCCGGAUGAUCUAACGAGACAAACAAUUAACACAAUUAGCACAACAUAUACAUAACAGCAAGUAAAAACUAAUAAUAUUAAAACAAUCAGUAACACUAACGAAGACAAGAGAGGAAAACCAAACAAAUAGCAAGCUUCGCGCUCCGGAUGAUCUAACGAGACAAACAACUCACACAAUUAGCACAACAUAUACAUAACAGCAAGUAAAAACUAAUAAUAUUAAAACAAUCAGUAACACUAACGAAGACAAGAGAGGAAAACCAAAUAAAGAAUUCAUCCAAAACUCCAUGGCAAAGCUUUUAGUAAAACAAAACAAACUAUAAAUAGUUUUCUGUAGCUAAUAACAUCUUAACACAAACAAGAAAUAAAACUAAUGAAAUUAACAGGAAAUAUUUAACCUAAAUUUUCUACACAAAAAGAAUCAAAUAAAAAGGUUUCAUAAAACAAAAGUUAUAUCCAAUUUAAAAUAAAUCUUGAAUCUGUCCAGAUCGAAAAUUUAUAAAAACAAAAAAUACUUUUAUUAGUCUUCUGGACAGACAUAACAUGUAGAAAUCAUUAGACAAAGAAACACUCAAAACAAAAUUUAAAUAAGAGUUAUACCAAAAUUGGUGUUUAAUACAAAUUUGUUUGAACUCAAAAAUUAAAAGUGCAAAAAUAAUUUUUUUUUAAUGGUUCCACGUGAUAGAGGUGAUUUUUUUGAAUCAUCGGCAAAAAGAAUCAUCUAAAUCGGAGUUAUAAAACUAAAGAUACAGAAAAACAAAACUUAAAUCUAAUCUAAAAACGGGAUUUUUCUGAAAACAUUAGAUUAUGGACACACGACACGUGGCUAUCACUGGUUUGCCGGAAGCGUUCGCAAAAGAGCUAAAAGGUCGAAGAUCUUUACUUAACUAAUACGAAAAUAACUUACACACAAUGAACGUGAAGAGGUAGGGAAGAAGAUGAUGAUGGUGUGGCAGCUCCAGCGAUCAACGGCGUCGGGGAAGUUGUCCAACAGAUGCGGCACGUCGAGGGCGAUCAAUUUUUGGUGAAGGUGAAGGUUGGUGGUGACCGAAGCGAGCUGGGCAUUGAGGUGAACUCCGUAAACUACGGCGGCGUUACGAGCUCGAGGAGGUCGCUAUAAAUGGAGAAGCGAGAUUAGACCUUGUCAAAAAGAAGCUAGGGAUCAAAAGAUGUUGAAGUACAGAAGAUGGAGGCUCGGGAUGGCUCACGGGCGUCGGAAUCCGGCGAUGAACCACAGCUUCUGCCGCGAGAUCCAAACAACGAGGGCGAGACGUAUAGGUGGUUUUGGCGUGGGAUUUUUAAGGGAAUCGGUCGAGGAGAGUCUGAGGUAUUUAUAGGAAUCUUACUUGGACGACGAAAAGACUAGAGAUAGGAUUUCCAUAGAUUUGAAUCAGAGUAGUUCGUGCACGUACGCAUACAUAUCUCUAUCUCUUUCUGUUACGUGGAGAAGACGAAGAAAGAGGGGUGGAUCCCUUUGUCAGGAAGAUGAAGAAAGAGGGGUGGAUCCCUUUUCAGAAAAAAAAGAGAAAGAGAUAGACGCACGUGAGAGAUCGAGAGGGAGAGGAUGGUGGCGGCGCUGGAAUGAUUUCUCCCAUGCGUGGAAGCCAC